GGCUACCUGGCGCAAUGGUAGCGCGUUUGGCUUCGAUCGCCUAACGGCUUCCUGUACUCUAAUCAGAAACCUUGGGGGACCAAAAGGUUGCAGGUUCGAGUCCUGCGGUGGUCA